rnacentral:lncRNA from 1 species
CCUGGGUCAGUUGAAUUUUGUACGGGAGGAGGCCCAAGUCACGCAAAGUAAAGGCAGGGUUCUUGUGCCUCGGAUUCUCCUGCACUCUCACAGACAGCGGCGAUGAGUGGGCUCAAAUUUAUCCACUACAUAGCUUAUAGUUCCCUCAGUAGGACGAUUAUGGCGACCGUACAUGUGUUUAAAUACUAUGUCCGUAAAUGGUGAUUCGACAAAUGACAACUAAUGUAGCUACAGCAAGAUGGCCGAUAUCAAGUCGGAAGUUCCUGUUGAAAGACCUUUUAGUUCAGGCUAACGCACAUCAGGAUUGCUAAUGAGCACUCUUUUUUUCUGUAGAUCUACGCAUUAUAACUACAACCAUCAGACUUAUUCUACCACAAGCAUCAUAGCAUCAGAGGACUACUUCAUUUCCUCUCAUUUACCGAAACUAAAAUCAGUGCUGGACAGCAUUGCUGCUGGAUCAAAAUAAUUUUACCAACUUGAGUCAUGCAUCAGCGUAUUUCCGCAGUCUAUAUAAUUUUCUUCAUUACUAAGAAAUAUUAGUAAAAAGUGAAACAGUAUGUCACACCAUUUUACUACUUAUGAGUAGGUAUUAUAUGAUAUUGAAUUAUUUUGACUGUUUGACAAUUGAUUGUUGAUAAUUCUAAUUCGGCGCUGCGGUCAGACGGAAUACUAUUGUACUUUAAUUAGACAAACAUGUUGCCAGAUCUUAACAAUCAGUUUCUGCACCCGCUGGACACCAGUGCCGAAUUAAAAAUAACAAUCUUUUUAAUUCGUGUAACAAUUUCAUUUGCGUUUUGUAAAGAUUAUACUCAAUAUUUUGAUAGUUGAAAAUAAAAGGU